rnacentral:rRNA from 1 species
UGGGGAAUAUUGGACAAUGGGCGAAAGCCUGAUCCAGCAAUGCCGCGUGAGUGAUGAAGGCCUUAGGGUUGUAAAGCUCUUUUACCCGGGAUGAUAAUGACAGUACCGGGAGAAUAAGCCCCGGCUAACUCCGUGCCAGCAGCCGCGGUAAUACGGAGGGGGGCCUAGCGUUGUUCGGAAUUACUGGGCGUAAAGCGCACGUAGGCGGCUUUGUAAGUUAGAGGUGAAAGCCCGGGCUCAACUCCGGAACUGCUUUAAGACUGCAUCGCUAGAAUCAUGGAGAGGUCAGUGGAAUUCCGAGUGUAGAGGUGAAAUUCGUAGAUAUUCGGAAGACACCAGUGGCGAAGGCGACUGACUGGACAUGUAUUGACGCUGAGGUGCGAAAGCGUGGGGAGCAAAACAGGAUUAGAUACCCCUGGUAUCCANGCCGUAAAACGAUGAUAAUAGCUGUCUGGGCUCUUGGAGCUUGGUGGCGCAGCUAACGCGUUAAGUUAUCCGCCUGGGGGAGUACGGCCGCAAGGUU